GAUGAACGCUGGCGGCGUGCCUAAUACAUGCAAGUCGAGCGAACAGACGAGGAGCUUGCUCCUCUGACGUUAGCGGCGGACGGGUGAGUAACACGUAGAUAACCUACCUAUAAGACUGGGAUAACUUCGGGAAACCGGAGCUAAUACCGGAUAAUAUAUUGAACCGCAUGGUUCAAUAGUGAAAGACGGUUUUGCUGUCACUUAUAGAUGGAUCCGCGCCGCAUUUGCUAGUUGGUAAGGUAACGGCUUACCAAGGCGACGAUGCGUAGCCGACCUGAGAGGGUGAUCGGCCACACUGGAACUGAGACACGGUCCGGACUCCUACGGGAGGCAGCAGUAGGGAAUCUUCCGCAAUGGGCGAAAGCCUGACGGAGCAACGCCGCGUGAGUGAUGAAGGUCUUCGGAUCGUAAAACUCUGUUAUUAGGGAAGAACAAAUGUGUAAGUAACUAUGCACGUCUUGACGGUACCUAAUCAGAAAGCCACGGCUAACUACGUG
rnacentral:rRNA from 1 species